ensembl:lncRNA
GUUUAAGAUUGGAUUUAUGCCCAUUUUGAGUAAAUCCUCACCCUCCUUGGUUUAGCUUCGGCUGAUCUCAGUUGGUUCUUGUUAAAACCAAAAUAUCCUCACCUGCAGCCCACGAGGAUUACUUUGCUUCAUCGUUGUAUUCUAACAACCCUGGGAUGUUGGAUUGAUUACUGACGCCAUUUGAGAGAUGAGGAAAUAAAUUCUCAUACAAAUGAAGUGGUUUGUCCUGAGUCAGAGAGUUAGAAAACUUCAGAGGCGAGAUUUGCACCUGUAGUCCUAAGCCAGUGUUGAGGCUGAAGGAGACGGUAUUCCUGGUUAGAUUACAUCAUUACCACAAGAGAGGCUUGAGUUCUGAGGAUGACGGUUUUAUAGCCCGUAGACCCCCACAACUGGAGCCAUCUGGACUUCUGGAAGCCUGGAAUCGAUGACCACACUUCGAAGAGGGGCACCAUGCACCAAACGAAAUGACAUGGGAAGGCCCUGAGUGGCCACUGUGAGAAAUGGCUCCUGCGGACACCAAAUUUCCUGUUUCAAGCUGAGGAUACAGAAGAGGUCACUCCAGACUCUGCUGAGAACAGCAAAAUGGGUUCCCUGGAAUCAAGCCUGGAAGGAAUUCAGUUGUCAGGGGCUAGCAGGCAGCACAGCCCCAGGUCAUGCAUUAUCAUAAUUUAACGGUGAGGCUCUGAACACUGAAGCCAGGAAAAAGAAUCUCUUCUCCUCAGAUGCUUAAACAGCAUCCAAGCUGCGGGGGGCCCAGCGCUCACCAGGUCCGGCCUUCUCAGCACUAGACCUGAAGGAGCUGGGGCUGAAGUCCCAGGGCUCUGGACUCAAGGAAGAGAAUAUAACCUCUGGCUUGGCUGCUUGCCCUGUGCAACCUUGAGCAAGUCAAUUCACCACUCUGGUCCUUGGUAUGUUUGUUUCAAAACAGAGACCAUCAUCCUUACCCUACUAACCUCACAGAAAUUCCCAGUGGGUAAUUAAUACUGAUGGCUGACAAUUACUGCACGCUCUACAGACCAGCAUUUUACCUGCAUCAUCUCAUUUAAAAUUCAGCAAUCUUAGUGGGCAUGUGCUCUACUGAGCUCACUUUA